AACCUAAGCCUAUGGAUAUACAUGUGUAUAAAAUGCCUUAUCUUAAAUUUGUGGAUGAAUUUACACUUUUUCUCAGAGGUUAUAAAGCUCCAUACUUUUCUUCCUUUUCUAGUGAAGAUGGAGAGUCAACUGUGUAGCACAUUGGAAGGUUUGAUGGGCAUUAUAUGGAUGGAACCUAAAUGAUUUCCAUAAAUUAGAGUUGUUCCAUUUAUCAUUGAUAAGAACAAUACUUCGUGUGGUAUUUUUUCUUCCACUAAACUCAAUACAAAACCGAGCAGACAUGGAAAGGUAUUUCCAUGACAAAUUCUAUUAGCCUCAUCCUAAAAUUACAAAAAACAUAGAUGAAUUGACUACAUAUUCCAUUGAAAGGCUACGUUGGGAGGAUCGCAAAUGUUUUGUUCAAUUUCCUCUAAUUGAAUAUGCAUUUAAUGGAUUAAUGGCAUGCAUCUUUGAAUAAAAGAGAAAUUAGUUGGACAAGUUUGACAUAAUCUGGAAAAAUUAAUUUCUAGAGAAGUACACAAAUCCAUCCACGAGAGGGAAAAAAUCUGAAGCCAACCCAACCAAGUGCCAACCAGUUAUCACAACAAGGAGCCCCACUAACGUAAAGGAAAUGCAAUAACUUACAGGUCGCCUCACCUCCCUGUCUCGCUUCCUUUCCUGCGUAGGAAACAAAGUCUUCCUCUUCUUCGUUACUUUAAAGAAGAAUGAGAGGUUUGAGUGGACCCACGAGGAUGAAGAGGAUUUCACCAAAGUCAAGAACUUCCCCACAUCUCCCACCGUUCUGACUCGCCUGAGAGAGGGGUCGUCGUUGUUGCUCUACCUCUCGGUCAAUGAUUAGUGAUGAGCUCAGUCCUCAUCCAAUAAAUCGACGGGGUGGAAAAGUCUAUGUAUUUCGUAAGCAAAGUGUAUAGAGGUGCCAAGGCACGUUGUCAAAAUAUUGAGAAGUAUUGCGUACUUUCAGGGUCACAAAAUCCUAGUAAAAACCAACUAUCUUGUGCGGAAAGUCUUGAAGAUGCCCGAUCCAGCAGGAAAAAUGGUAUCCUAGGCGGUGGAGCUCUCAGAGUACGAUAUCCAAUAUGUCUCGAGGUGAAGCAUCAAAUCACAAGUUCUGGCAGAGUUCAUAGCAGAACGCUCUAUCAGUAUAGUGCAUCCAACAUAAAAGGGAGCGACAUUGGAAUAGUCCAAGAAGGACCUGGCGACAUACUCAUCUAGCAAGCUUUAAAAUCCGGGUUCACUGCUAGCAAUAACCAAGUGAAGUAUGAGGCCUCAUUAUCGAAAUGAUCCUCGCCUUAGAAAAGGGAGCCUCUAGGUUAAAGGCCAAAAUUGAUUCCCAAUUGGUCGCCAACCAAGUCUCUAGGAAGUACCAAGCCAAUGAGGUACAAAAAGUACAAACUUUAUCUUCUCGCUUCUCGUCCUUUGAAAUAAAUUGUGUCCCCUGUAAACAAAACAUCAGAGUAGGGCUUAUGUCAAAGCUAGCUACAUCAAAAAUGGCGGGUUCAACAAAAUAUUUAUCUAGGAAACUCUCGCCUCUUCCAGCAUAGAGGCACACGAGGUAUAAUCCCUGGAAGUUAUCCUAGAAUCUAGCUGGAUGUCGCCCAUAUUGCGCUAUCUGCAGACUAGCGAACUACCACUAGAUGAGGGAGAUGUAAGAAGGAUCCGGAAACAUGUUGCUAAGUACACCCUUCUAUUUGAAAAACUAUAUAAAGUAGGGAGAGCUUCUCCUAUGUUAAGAUGUCUACGCGAUCAUGAAACUUUCCUAUUUCUCGUGGAGGUGCACAAGGGCGCUAGUAGCAGCCACAUCGGUGUUCGGUCGAAGAGGUUGCCGGUGAGUAUUCUGAAACAAGUUUGAUUUCAACCUUUAUUUUCGAUUUGCCAACGAAGUGACAUUUUUUUUGUUUGCUUACAAUGUUUUGUUAAUCAUUUUUUGAUGAAGGUUUGAACAUUGUUGCUGUUUUAUUGUUAUAGUGUCCAUAAAAUCAAUGUUUUGUCGUUGUUGGUCGUAAACAAGGUUGGUCCUUCGGUUUGUUGAUUCAAACAAAUCAUAUAUUGAUUGCAUUAAUUGUUGUUGAGGUACAACUUUGAAACUGUCUUUGCAGCAUCUUUGAAAUUGCCUUUAAUGGUGGGAACAUAUUCGGUGUCGGCUUUGCUUCGUCAAGUGCAGGUUGGGAAUUUUCGUAAGCUUGCUAUCUUGAUAUGAAACAUGACUAACUUUCCAAUAACAGUUCCAAGUUCCAAAAGAAUUUUGUUUAUAUAUGAUCCUUCUUUUCUUCUUCUAAAUUUUUGUGUUGGGUUGCAUUUUCUGUAUGGAUUAGGUUUGAUGCUUAUAGGACUGGUUUUGUGUGUUGUUGUAGGGCUUUUCAUGAGUAUUUUGAUGUUGCCCUGUUCGAAAAGUUUGAGAGUGCAUAUGACUUCAUUUUUCAUUUAUAUAACUUUGAAUUUUCACUUGAUUUUGGGACUAAAUUGACUGAUGAAUUGUUGAGUGAUGCCCUGAACGUAUCCCGUACGGUUCCGAGAUGAGGUUGCUCGGAGUCGAGAGUGAAGUUGUCUGGAACAUGGAAACCCGGAUUGAAUCUUGCACCAUGAACUUGACUGGAUGAAAAGUCAUAUUAUAGAUGCAUGUGUACUGUUCGAAGAAAUGCCAAAGAGGAUAUUAGAUGCUCUUGCUGCACUAAUGCUCUUGCUGCAUCACUUCAGAAACCAACGAAAGAUAAGUAGUAGCUACAGGUUUUAUUGACUGAUUAUAAUGGACUAUUGUCAUGCAAUUAAGGGUGUUUUUAGAUAUUAUUCUAAUGCUGAUGCUGAUUGUUAGUGCUGAUCAAAGAGUCAAUGGUUCAAUUUAUAUCAGUAUUUGUCUUUAUGUAUCCUCUCUAAUUCAAUAAUUUUUCAAUCUGUGAAAUAACUUCACUCAUUUUUCUUUUUUGAAUACCUUUCUUUAUAUUCAUUUGAAGCAUCAAACAUGUCUCUUUGAUUAUUUUUCUUCAUUUGCUAUGGUUCCUUAGUUCUUAAAAUAUCCAACUACAUGAGAUCUCUGUAUGUAGAGGUUCUUGCAUUGAGGUUCUCACUGAUUUUGCAUGUGAUUCAACAGACUGAACUAAUAUCUGGUGAUCAAAAUAGGAUUUGACAGCAAAUUCAUGCAGCUGUAAAUUGGUGGAGACCAUUUUGGAUAGGGAGAAUUUCACUUUGGAGGAACUACUUGAUGAGGAUGAAAUUAUUCAAGAAUGCAAGGCUCUUAAUAGUCGGCUUAUAAAUUUGUAAUGGUCUUCUUUUCCAUCAUCAUAUUUAUUUCUUAUUAGAGACUACUGUUCUGUUAUGGCAUUGAAGAAAUUAUCCCUAUGAAGGGAAUUAUAAUAUUAUUCGUCAGACCUGUUUAUUAAGUACUGUCUCGAGUAUAAUUACUUUUGACUUCAAAGUGUUGUUAUGGAAUCAGGGAUGAGACCUAAGAAUAUUAUAAUCAAAAUUAAGAUACUUGCUUAAAUUAAUAAACGAUCCCUUAUAUUUUAACAAAUCAGACUUUUGCAUCUACAUCCUAAUUGAUUAGAUUUGAGAACAAAGUUUAGAUUUGAGUUUCCAUUUUGUUGACCUGUGAGUCUCGCAUAACUCAGAAUGUUAGCAAUUAUAUAAGUUUUGUUUGUCUGAUUUAAGGACAUGGAAAACUGUCAUCUGGUUUAACACUAAAUAUCUUCUGCUGAUUGAUAAAAAAAUAACUGGAAUGUCUAAACAGAAGGAAAACAUGUAUAGAAAACCUAGAGCCCAUGUAUUACAGUUUUUUAAACAAAAUAAUCACUUUUACAAGUUUUCAUCUGUUUGUUACAAAUUUUGAAAAUAUGAAAAUAUAAAAGAAAUCUAGGAAGUGCUUCAAAUGAGAAGCUGUUUUGAGAAAGAACGUAUUUCAUAAAGAUGCAAGUAAAAUUCCAUAUUUUACUUACUAAAAUAUCUAUGGAUGCUUAGGUGGACAGUUAUUUCCGCCAUGUAGGAGGUUGUUGGUGGAAAAAUGUAGUUUUCAUGAAAUAAACUCUGGAAUAUUUUUUUCUGCGGCUCGCAUUUUAGUUACGUAGCUCUUUGGCUUGGAUACCGACAGCAUAUUUUGUGUUUGGGAUGACAUUAUUUCCUAAUUUUGCUUAUUGGCUGACUACAUUAGUAUUGUUUUUUAUAUCACACUUAUUGGCUUAUUGCUGUUUUAUUUGAUGUACUGUUAUUUUGUACGCACUACUAAUCAUCCCAAAAUUCGUAUAAAUGCACGAAUUAUUAUUUUUUAUAUAAUUAAAGAAAAUAAAAUAAAAUAUAAUGAAUUAAACCAAA